GUAUCGACCCCCAUCGGUGUCGGAGCUAACGCGUUAAGUGUUCCGCCUGGGGAGUACGACCGCAAGGUUGAAACUCAAAGGAAUUGACGGGGGCCCGCACAAGCGGUGGAGGAUGUGGUUUAAUUCGACGCAACGCGAAGAACCUUACCUGGGCUUAAACCGCAGGGUAAACCCUCUGAAAGGAGGGCUGCUUCGGCAAUCCUGUAGAGGUGCUGCAUGGCUGUCGUCAGCUCGUGUCGUGAGAUGUUGGGUUAAGUCCCGCAACGAGCGCAACCCUUGCUCUUAGUUACCAGCGCGUAAUGGCGGGGACUCUAAGAGGACUGCCCUCGCAAGGGGGAGGAAGGUGGGGAUGACGUCAAGUCCUCAUGGCCCUUAUGUCCAGGGCUACACACGUCCUACAAUGGCCGGUACAAAGGGCUGCAAGCUCGCGAGAGUUAGCUAAUCCCAAAAAGCCGGUCCCAGUUCGGAUUGCAGUCUGCAACUCGACUGCAUGAAGGUGGAAUCGCUAGUAAUCGUGGAUCAGCAUGCCACGGUGAAUACGUUCCCGGGCCUUGUACACACCGCCCUUCACAUCACGAAAGUCGGUGGUACCGGAAGUCGCUGACCAACCCGCAAGGGAGCAGCGCCGAUGGUAUGACCGUAAUUGGGAUGAAGUCG
rnacentral:rRNA from 1 species